AGUGACUCCAAUACUAUGAGAAAGAACUGGAGGCUGAAAAUUAAAAAAACAAACAUUUGACCACAUUUCAAUCUUGUGGUGCAGGAAGUGAUGGGGAGACACAAAAUUACCUGAAAUCCUGCCAAAGCUUGCAGAGGAUCUGUCGGUUCUUAAAGAACAGGGUGUGCCUCAAAACCAUUGCAUGGUUCAUUUAGUCACAAAACAAUGGACUUCAUUAAUAUGAACAAGUUUUUUUCUAUUGUUCCAGAAAUGGAAGUCACAAAAAAUGAGAGAUGAACACUGGGAGGCACUGGAAGAAGGAAGAAGGCAAUAGAGUAAAAUGCAAACAUUACAUUCACAAUAAAUUCCUGGACAAGAACGUCAUACUCAGUACUGGUCUCAAAAUGACUCCUCAGUUCCUGCAAUCAAAACUCCUGAGUUAGCUCAGACUCCGGGAACUCUACAGAGAACUCAAACUAAACAGAUACUGGCCCAAUGGAAACAGGCAGCUUCCCAAAAGGUGAUAAUGAAUAGGCACCAGAUGGCUGAUCGAGGACAAAACAAACACUCUUGGUGUGUGCCAGAGAGAGAGAG